UUAAUCUUGAUCAAAUGAAGUUCCCAUUUUUUCGUACCGAAAGACAAAACGUAGUCAACUGGAAGGUUGGGUACGAUGAAGUUUCUGUUUCGAAUGGUAACAAAGUUUAACAAGAAGCCUUCACCAAUGCCCUUUCAUCCAUUUAGAGAGAGAGAGAGAGAGAGAGAGAGAGAGAGAGAGAGAAGUACAAAUGAGAGACAGCUAGGCUAGUUUCUCUUCGGUGAGUUCAGUAGGUGCGGGAACUCCUUUCAAGUCUUAAACCCUAAACUGAAACGAGCUCUCACAUCAUAAACCUCUUACAAACCCCAAACACAAAACUGUUAGCUUUAACUGAACAGACAUUGGAAGCAUAACGAACCCUUUGGAAACCCAACAAAGGGAAGCAACAAAGAUGAAGACUCUGAGUACGAAACUGCUGCAACAGUUAUCCUCCAAACAAGCUAUUCGUCGCCAUGCAUAUUCUACUAAGGCAAUCCCAGAUUUUGGGCAACCAACUCCAGCAUCUCAUCCUCAGUUAAUGAAGGAAGGGGAAAUUACACCUGGUAUAACUUCUGAGGAAUACAUCUCAAGACGAAAAAGAUUGUUGGAACUUCUUCCAGAGAAAAGCUUGGCCAUCAUUGCUGCGGCCCCUGUAAAGAUGAUGACUGAUGUUGUGCCAUACACAUUUCGACAAGAUGCAGAUUACUUGUAUCUUACCGGUUGCCAACAACCUGGUGGAGUGGCAGUAUUAAGUCAAGAGUGUGGUUUAUGCAUGUUCAUGCCGGAAGCAAAAGCUCACGACAUUGUUUGGCAAGGACAAACAGCUGGAGUUGAUGCAGCACUGGAGAUGUUCAAGGCUGAGAAAGCAUAUCCCAUGAGCAAAUUAAAUGAGAUCCUUCCAGAUAUGAUUAAAAGAUCUUGCAAAUUGUUCCACAAUACGUUGACAGCCACACCGACCUAUACAGAUAUGGAGACCUUUCAAAAGGCAGCUCAUGUUGGGAAAGUGAGUGACCUUUCCAUUUUCACCCAUGAGUUACGUUGGGUAAAAUCUCCUGCUGAACUUAAGUUAAUGAAAGAAUCUGCAUCAAUUGCUUGUCAGGCUCUUUUGCAGACAAUGUUGCAUUCCAAAACAUAUCCUUAUGAGGCCAUGCUAUCAGCAAAGGUUGAAUAUGAAUGCAGAUUGAGAGGUGCCCAGAGAAUGGCAUUUAACCCUGUGGUUGGUGGUGGGCCUAAUGGUAGUGUAAUACACUAUUCUCGAAAUGAUCAGAAAAUUAAAGAUGGGGAACUUGUUCUGAUGGAUGUUGGAUGUGAGCUGCAUGGUUAUUGCAGUGAUCUUACUCGUACCUGGCCACCCUGUGGAAGCUUUUCUUCUGUACAAGAAGAGGUUUAUGAUCUCAUACUACAAACAAACAAGGAAUGUAUGAGGCUUUGCAAACCCGGUGCUAGCAUUCGUCAAAUACACAACUAUUCGGUUGAACUGCUUUUCAAAGGACUGAAGGAAAUUGGGAUUUUGAAAAGGGAUCAAUUUAGAUCCUAUCACCAAUUGAACCCAACGUCAAUAGGUCACUAUCUAGGAAUGGAUGUCCAUGAUAGUUCCAUGAUCAGCUAUGACCGUCCUUUGAAGCCAGGAGUAGUGAUUACCAUUGAGCCAGGAAUCUAUCUCCCAUCGAGUCUUGAUGGUCCACAGAGGUAUUUAUGGAGUCCACUUGGCGAAAUAAAAGUUCCAUUGUAAAUUCAAAACCUCACAACCUGGUACCAAGGCAUUGGAAUAAGGAUUGAAGAUGAGGUUCUGAUUACGGAAACGGGUUGUGAGGUUCUUACUGGAUCAAUGCCAAAAGAGAUCAAACACAUUGAAUCCUUGCUGAACAAUUACAGUCAUGGAAUAGAAAUGGAGGGCCAUAACAACAUAAAAGCUGCAACCAGAUGAUGGUGUCUUGACGUAUGUCAGGACCUUCUGGCAGUGGAAAUCAUUUCUGAUGCCUAUUCGGACUCAAAGGAGAUAUGAUUUCCAGUUCUGCGCAAGUUUCCAGAUUUCCUGCGAAAAUGGCCUGUCAUGUGGCCUCUAUGUAUACCCUUACCCUUGUCUAUCAGAAUCCUCCAUGUUCCUCCUUGUUUUGUUCCAUAUCGCCGGUAAGAGAGAGCUAUCACUCGAUUCUUUUCACCUUUAGGCUUGCAAGUUUGUAAGCACCUAUUUAAUUGUUUUGCAUUGAUAAUCAAUAAAUUUACCAUUAAUCAGGGGGAAAAUUAGUUCCUUAUUUGCAUUCA